UACGUAGGUGGCAAGCGUUGUCCGGAAUUAUUGGGCGUAAAGCGCGGGCAGGCGGUUCCUUAAGUCUGAUGUGAAAGCCCUGGGCUCAACCUGGGAAUUGCAUUGGAUACUGGCGAGCUAGAGUGCGGUAGAGGAUGGCGGAAUUCCCGGUGUAGCAGUGAAAUGCGUAGAGAUCGGGAGGAACAUCUGUGGCGAAGGCGGCCAUCUGGACCAGCACUGACACUGAGGCACGAAAGCGUGGGGAGCAAACAGG
rnacentral:rRNA from 1 species